rnacentral:tRNA from 1 species
GCUACUGUAGUUUAAAAAACAUUGGCCUUGUAAGCCAAAAUUGGGGGCCAGCAGCCCCCCUCCAGCU